rnacentral:rRNA from 1 species
AGUGAACGCUGGCGGUAGGCCUAACACAUGCAAGUCGAACGGCAGCACAGUAAGAGCUUGCUCUUACGGGUGGCGAGUGGCGGACGGGUGAGGAAUACAUCGGAAUCUACUUUUUCGUGGGGGAUAACGUAGGGAAACUUACGCUAAUACCGCAUACGACCUACGGGUGAAAGCAGGGGAUCUUCGGACCUUGCGCGAUUGAAUGAGCCGAUGUCGGAUUAGCUAGUUGGCGGGGUAAAGGCCCACCAAGGCAACGAUCCGUAGCUGGUCUGAGAGGAUGAUCAGCCACACUGGAACUGAGACACGGUCCAGACUCCUACGGGAGGCAGCAGUGGGGAAUAUUGGACAAUGGGCGCAAGCCUGAUCCAGCCAUACCGCGUGGGUGAAGAAGGCCUUCGGGUUGUAAAGCCCUUUUGUUGGGAAAGAAAAGCAGCAGGUUAAUACCCCGCUGUUCUGACGGUACCCAAAGAAUAAGCACCGGCUAACUUCGU